GAUGAACGCUGGCGGCGUGCCUAAUACAUGCAAGUCGAGCGAAUGGAUUAAGAGCUUGCUCUUAUGAAGUUAGCGGCGGACGGGUGAGUAACACGUGGGUAACCUGCCCAUAAGACUGGGAUAACUCCGGGAAACCGGGGCUAAUACAGGAUAACAUUUUGAACCGCAUGGAUCGAAAUUGAAAGGAGGCUUCGGCUGUCACUUAUGGAUGGAGCCGCGUCGCAUUAGCUAGUUGGUGAGGUACCGGCUCACCAAGGCAACGAUGCGUAGCCGACCUGAGAGGGUGAUCGGCCACACUGGAACUGAGACACGGCCCAGACUCCUACGGGAGGCAGCAGUAGGGAAUCUUCCGCAAUGGACGAAAGUCUGACGGAGCAACGCCGCGUGAGUGAUGAAGGCUUUCGGGUCGUAAAACUCUGUUGUUAGGGAAGAACAAGUGCUAGUUGAAUAAGCUGGCACCUUGACGGUACCUAACCAGAAAGCCACGGCUAACUACGUGCCAGCAGCCGCCGUAA
rnacentral:rRNA from 1 species